AUGAACCCGGAGCUUGCUCUGGGGAAUUAGUGGCGAACGGGUGAGUAACACGUGUAGUAACCUGCCCUUGACUCUGGGAUAACCUCCGGAAACGGAAGCUAAUACCGGAUAUGACGUACGGAGGCAUCUCCUGUACGUGGAAAGAAUUUCGGUCAAGGAUGGACUCGCGGCCUAUCAGGUAGUUGGUGAGGUAACGGCCCACCAAGCCUACGACGGGUAGCCGGCCUGAGAGGGUGACCGGCCACACUGGGACUGAGACACGGCCCAGACUCCUACGGGAGGCAGCAGUGGGGAAUAUUGCACAAUGGGCGCAAGCCUGAUGCAGCAACGCCGCGUGAGGGAUGACGGCCUUCGGGUUGUAAACCUCUUUUAGUAGGGAAGAAGCGAAAGUGACGGUACCUGCAGAAAAAGCACCGGCUAACUACGUGCCAGCAGCCGCGGUAAUACGUAGGGUGCGAGCGUUGUCCGGAAUUAUUGGGCGUAAAGAGCUCGUAGGCGGUCUGUCGCGUCUGCUGUGAAAACCCGAGGCUCAACCUCGGGCCUGCAGUGGGUACGGGCAGACUAGAGUGCGGUAGGGGAGAAUGGAAUUCCUGGUGUAGCGGUGGAAUGCGCAGAUAUCAGGAGGAACACCGAUGGCGAAGGCAGUUCUCUGGGCCGUAACUGACGCUGAGGAGCGAAAGCGUGGGGAGCGAACAGGAUUAGAUACCCUGGUAGUCCACGCCGUAAACGUUGGGCGCUAGAUGUGGGGACCAUUCCACGGUUUCCGUGUCGCAGCUAACGCAUUAAGCGCCCCGCCUGGGGAGUACGGCCGCAAGGCUAAAACUCAAAGGAAUUGACGGGGGCCCGCACAAGCGGCGGAGCAUGCGGAUUAAUUCGAUGCAACGCGAAGAACCUUACCAAGGCUUGACAUAUACGAGAACGGGCCAGAAAUGGUCAACUCUUUGGACACUCGUAAACAGGUGGUGCAUGGUUGUCGUCAGCUCGUGUCGUGAGAUGUUGGGUUAAGUCCCGCAACGAGCGCAACCCUCGUUCUAUGUUGCCAGCACGUAAUGGUGGGAACUCAUAGGAGACUGCCGGGGUCAACUCGGAGGAAGGUGGGGAUGACGUCAAAUCAUCAUGCCCCUUAUGUCUUGGGCUUCACGCAUGCUACAAUGGCCGGUACAAAGGGCUGCAAUACCGUAAGGUGGAGCGAAUCCCAAAAAGCCGGUCUCAGUUCGGAUUGAGGUCUGCAACUCGACCUCAUGAAGUCGGAGUCGC
rnacentral:rRNA from 1 species